AUCUGCUUUAGGGGAAAGGGGAGCUCGCCGAGCUCUAAGGCUCCCUCUCCAGAGAAUGGACCAGCCCAUCUGCCCUUUGUGAAGUGGCGGAAAGGGGCGGUACCAUCCUCUUGUCUGGGGGUGGGGAGGGUAGUUGGAGCCUCAUGCCCGUUCUAGUGUGGGGUGGGGAUGUGGGGCAGGGGACCGGCCCCGGGGCUCUCCAGGGAGACACUCGCUGUCCCGGCUUCUCAGGUGACGUGCGGAAUAAACUCUACAACUCGAGAUGAGUUAUAAAGCAGGUCGUGCCCCUGGUUUGAAUUGAACUACUAUCAGGGAGGCGUUUUUAGCUCUGCCUGGUAUUUCUGAGGCACAUACUCCCGGAUAUACUUGGUUCUGAAUCUCCUCAGAUACUCCCGAGGUUACUGGAGCAUUUAUAAGAGCCGGACUUAAAAGUUCAAUUAGCUGAUCUCUUCCCACUCGGAGUUCUACUUUUCCUUUAUCAAAUUGUAUCUUUGCCUCUAAUUGUUACAAUAGAUCCCUUCCCAAUUGUGGGAGAUUUGAGGGAUUUUCUUGAGGUUGUUGUGUGGAUGGGUUUCUAUUAGAUGGAGAUUUAUUUCUGAACUAGCCAAAGGAAUCUCAAGGCCAGCUCGAAGGCUGAAAAACAGCACCUGCUGUGGGAGUGAGGCCUCAGGGCCUCAACAAGAUGUAAAUCAACAGACCUAUUAGCAGUGAGACUUGGGUGCAUGGACAGCUCAUGAACAUGGACAAUAUCCAAUCAGCUAAUGCAUGCUUGGAGCGUGGAUGUCUGAUCAGGAAAUAACUGCAUAUAUAAGGAGGCUUGUUUCUGUAAUAAAUGGCUUCGCUUGAAUUCAUAUUGGAUUGUGUGGAGUCCACGAUUUUUCGCCCUUGCAAGUGGUGAUUCCGACGUGAUCCAUGAGGAGAGUUUAUGGAAGGGGAACGACUGCUGUGAGGAACGAGCCCCAGCUGGAACGACUCGGCUGGACCGCGACCGCGACGUAGUCUGCGGGCUGCGUGACUCCUGAUUGAUCGCUACAGAAGCGACAGAGGAGGGAUAAAGGAUCCGAUAUCGUUGCAAUAGACACCCAAAGAGGUGAGCAGAUGGGGGCAAAAGGAGAUGGGGCAGAAUAUUUUUAAAGAAGAAGAAGAAAUACUGCGGCUCCUCUCGCAUAUUCUCUCUAAGAGAGGGGUGAAGUAUGAGGAGAGUAACCUCAAAAGACUAUUAAUUUGGUGCAGAGGCAAUGGGUUUCCUGCUGACCUGUUAGGAGCUUUUAAAAUAGAGACUUGGGAAAAAGUGGGAACUGUGUUGUGGAAGACAAUUAGUCGCCAUGAAAAAUAUAUUCUUGGCCUUGUAACCGCCUGGAAACUGAUCAUUACUACGCUGCAGCAAUUAAAACCUGAAAAGACUGCUAUGAGCAUUAGUGACUCAAAACUUCGACUUGAACUUUGGGACAAUAUAGGGCAGAAAUUAUGGGAUAAAGUCAGCAAUGGAGAUAAAGAAGCUAAGUCAUUAGCAACUACAUGGAAGCUUAGAAUUACCACCUUAAAAGAUCUUAAGGCUGAACGGUCUGCUUCUGCUGGAAUUUUUGCAGCGUUGCAGCCUGAUAAGUAUCCUGAAAGUCGCUGUGAAGUUUACCUGGUUCAUGUCUUUGAUACCCUCCCUAUUCCAUCCCCUGCUGUGCUUUCGGCACUCCCAAUAGUUCAGCAGUCUGGGUCGGGGGGAGGAAAAAUGCCGAGCGGGUGGCCUUCUGUACCGUUGUCCAACCCUGGUGAGAACAACAAGUUCAGAGGACUGGAGUCAGACAACUUGCUCAAAGAACCUGUGAAAGCUGAGAAUGCUAAAGUCAUAAACAAGGGUACUAUCUGUCCUUUUACCAAUUUGUAUAUGCCUUUACUGCCUUUUAACCCUCCAACUUCCACGAGAGAGCAGAAGGAGUCACCGGAUAAGAACUGGGCAAAAGAACUGUGUGAAGGAUUAGAUCAGCUAAUAGCGAGUGAAUCCAACAGUCGGCAAUGCAGUCAUGAUGAUUGCGACGGGAAAGGGGGUGCUCCUGGGGACUCAGGUUGUACAAAUAAUUAUGAUGCUAGAAAGUAUUGGCAAGAAUGUGCACUGUUCCGAACCCCCCUGUUACCAACGAUUCUCCAGCACCGUUCAAGUCUGUGUUAUCUGAUGACUUGUAUGAGGAUGGGGGUUUGCAGCAUUUUCUUCAAAAGUUAACAGGAAAAAGAGUAUGUGUACGUGUUGCCCCGAGAUCAGAUAAAAACCAUGAAAGACUCAAGCAAAAUUAGACCUGUGCAAUGUAACAGCUAUAGAUCAUUUAGGAUGGAAUGAUGGGGAUUCAUUGAAAGGGGCAGGUAUCCCCCAACUCUUGGAACAGACACUAAUUGACACACCACAAUUAGAGGUGCGAUUAGUUUCUGAAAUCCUGAGGCAGUCAACAGAUCUUGCAUAUCAAGCUAUGAUAAAGGUGCCUGAAACCAACAAAGCAGCCAAAUCUUUUAUAACUACUAUCAGGGUCCCAGUGAGAGUUACAUGCAAUUUAUUGACCAUCUUCAAGAGGCUAUCAAUAAACAGGUUGAAAACUUAGAAGUUAAGGAAGCACUGGUGUUGAAAUUAGCAGUAGAGAAUGCUGAUGUUUGCUAUCAACGUGUUAUCUGCGAGUUUUACAGUACAUAUUAUGUGCUUCUGUGUAUUGCCCCUCUGAAAAUCAAGCAGCUUGUCAGGAAUGUGAGUUAAUUGUUUUACUGGUUGUUGUUAGAAUUGUUUCUUUGUGGUAUAAGUACACCGUAAAACUUUCUCCCCACUUUUCCCACUCGCGCUGCAAGCAGCCCUGUGCUUACCCCCCUCCCUCCCUCUUCUCAUGGUUUUUACUUACGAGAUGGGGUCAGGAAUGACUGUUUUCAAUCGUGUUCCUAAGAAAUUGGUAUUGGGAGGUGUUUUAAAACAUAGGAAAGCACUCGGAAAUAUGAGGAAGGAAGAUCUUGUGGAAUAUUGUAAUUAAUGGUGGCUGCUGUAUAAGUUAAAUGAUUGGGAAAAGUGGCCGGAGAAUAGAAUCUUGAAGUAUAACACUUUGUUGCAGUUCAUGUUGUUUUUAAGGCGAGAAGAGUAGGACAAAAUAAAUCCCUACAAGAGAUCAUUAAAUAAUUUCAGACAGUUUUACAGGCGGAACGGUUUGAACUUCAACAAGCUGAGAGAGAGUUAACUGAUAACACACAGGUCACAGUAAACUUGCUGAAGUCUGCAAGAUGCUUUCCUUAUUAACCUGUUUUCUUUGUGGGUAUCUGUUUAAGCAUGGUACAGUUUUGGUAGGUCUUUGUUAUAUGGUACAGUAAGUUCACAGACUGUUAAAUCAUGAGAAUCCGUUGACUCAAAACGUGCAUUUUGUGAUAAUACAGAAGAUCACGAGUAAUUUAGUUCUUUACUUCGUGAAUGUGAUGGUAAAAUUUUUGUGUGUGGUAGCUGCUAUUUUUCUUUCUAGCAUGCUAGCUUUAUUCCGGUAUCCAGACUUGUGCAACUGUGUGACAGGCUGUGUCUCAUCUCGAUGUGCUGGAUUUGGCUCUUUUGUAUGCACACCAUGUAAAGAAUCCUGGUUUUGGGAUAACUGUUGUAGCGCACCAGAUGAGGCACCAAAAAAAAAAAAAAAAAGCCUUGCACGCCGCAGCUUGCUGCGGCGGGGGGGGGCAGGUGCCGAUUGGGCUCCAGCGCGCACUGACCUGUUUUGUCAGGGAGACCCAGCAGUACCUCUGCCUGGCUGAGCAGUAAGCGGCCCAAAGGUGCAAUGAAAAAAUUGAGAUAUUGUCUUGAAUAAGUGUAACUGUGAUGCAUCUGCAUAUUUGAACUUGGUGUUUGGUUUUCAUAUCUGAGCUCAGUAUUUUAAUUUGCAUAUAUAUAUAUAUUUGGUACCAAAAGAAUUUUGUUUGCGGAGAUAAUUAUGAAAGGGGAAUCGGUUCCACUGCUAAAAUACCACCUUGCUCCCCCUUAGGAUGCAUCCCUAUACAUUGGAGUUAUUGCUCAUAUUAUUAUCCAAUAAUUUUGAGACCAGAAAAUAAUUAAAGUUGUUAAACUUUGAUUUGCAUUUAAUUUAUGUGCUAGUUGGAGGUAUGCGAAAGAAAACUAAAUGCUAUGAUGGAUGUGAACUUGGAUGAGGUUGUAUUUAAAAGUUAAAAGCUGCUGGAAUAUGAACUGAUUUGGAUCUAGGAAAAUGGAAUAAUGGAUUGAUGUUUAAUAUGCUGUAUUUUGACAUCUGUAAAUUGUGAAAGGUAAAUGGGGCUGAGGAAUGUAACAACUGUUGAGCUAAUUGGAGUUGUGUAUAAAACUCAGCUCAUUGCAGUCAAGGAGUUUGCCAGAGCCUCCUACUUCGUACCAGCGAUUACGCCAGCUGCGUGGCCUUGGCUACAUCUGAACUGCAGCAAGAAGAGAAAGAAGAAAAAAAUGGAAAAAAAGCCUGUUUUCCUGCUGCUAAGCAGAGAAAGGGGGGCUUUACUCCCCCUGCUCUGUCUUUUUUUUUCUCCUGGAGUAUUGUGAUCCAUCCUUGUUGUGGCACUGUGUUGCUUCUCGGCUUCGAAUCAGGGGUUGUUGGUGCUGUUUCUUUUUGCUUCUGUCUUUUUUCCUAGGUUUUUGGCACAUCUGGGGAGAGAGUUCAUCAUUUUACCUCCUUGCUGAGGUUGGUCUUUCACACUGGUCAGCUUUGGGGGAGAUCAGAGUGCUCAGUGCUUCUCUGGGUCAGAGUGGUACUGAUUUGGGUGUGGAGUGGAGCCAGGUUGGUUUGAUGUGGAGUUCGAACUGAUUUGUUUUCAUGCUGAGCUGGAGAUCCUGCCAUCUCAGGUGGGGGCGAGAGGGAGGUUUUAUCCCCCCCCCCCCCGGCGAUGUUACUGCUAGAGAACUGUAAUACUGCAUCAAGGAGUCUGAGUGUGAAAUUUGAAGGCAUUGCCAGUGGGUCCAUAGUUCUAAUGAAGCUGGGAAAUUAAACCAAUUUUUUUUUUUUUUUUUUUAAGAGACUUAUUCUGUGGUAACUGGUUGUGAGAGGCUUCUUAGUAAAUUCACCAUGCUAGUUUUUGAGGUCAUGGGAGAGAACGAAAGAAAGGCUGUUUUUUGAGACCAAUAGAAUGCCAAAUUUGGAACAAAGUUUUACCAUAUGAAUUCUUGUAUUUUCCAGAAAGUCCUAUACCUCUCUUGGGUCAAGAUUUGUUAAGUAAAUUGUAAGCUCAAAUAACGUUUUCUGAGAAUUCUGUUUAGUUGCAUGUCCUACAAGAAGCUGCUUGGAUGGUGCAGAUCUGCUUGCUGCAAGUGAGAAAUCUCCAAGGACAUUUCGAAUGCUGUAUUUCCACUAGUAUUAACAGCCAAUGUUUCGAUAAAGCAAAUACUACACUGAAAGAAUUGAAACAGGACUUCGAUCUGGACGAGGAUUGAAGUGGAUUCCACAAAGAUUCAAUGAAUGCAGACGGACAGGAGGGAGAUAAGUUGUGAGGACUGUUUCAGAUGUAAACCAUGGAUCCUAAUUCAGUGUUAUGGAUGCUCACAGACCUGGUGGUCUAGAAGCCUAUCAGCAAGCAGGUGGUGUACCUUCUGUGGAGAAUGGCAAUUUGAGCAACAGCAGGAGAGUCAAAGUGUCAAUGCAAAAAUGAGGUAAAAUUAUGAGGCAUUCCUACCUUAGUAUCUACUGCACUCCUUCUCCCUAGUCUAGCAGCUGGUAAAGCUUUAGGAGACAUAUCAAAGUUAAGCUACUGGUCUUUUAAACAGGCUAAUCUAACUUCUGAGAUACUAACUCAAUUAAUAGUAGAUGUCGAUGGUAUUAGGCACGUUACAUUUCAAAAUCGUGUUGCUAUAGAUUUUCGUUGUUAUCGUAAGGACAUGGUUGUGAUGAAUUUAAGAGAAAGAUGUUGUAUUAACUUGUUUAAUCAUUCUGGACCUAUUCAUAGUGUUUUAGACAAACUAAACCAGCACGUUAAUGAGAUUGUCAUAGUAGAAUUAGGGUUUGACAAAUGGUGGGUAGUUGUUUGAUCUUAUUAUGUAAGGCUUAGCUACAUUAUAUGUAACUGUAAUAAUUGUUGUUAAUCAUGUGUUGUAUGCUGCAGUGUAUUUCAAAGAUGAUUGAGCACGUUGUAAACAAGGCCUGGCUGGUUCAAAAGCAAAAAGGGGGAAUUGUGGGAGAUUUGAGGGAUUUUCUUGAGGUUGUUGUGUGGAUGGGUUUCUAUUAGAUGGAGAUUUAUUUCUGAACUAGCCAAAGGAAUCUCAAGGCCAGCCCGAAGGCUGAAAAACAGCACCUGCUGUGGGAGUGAGGCCUCAGGGCCUCAACAAGAUGUAAAUCAACAGACCUAUUAGCAGUGAGACUCGGGCACGUGGACAGCUCGUGAACAUGGAAAAUAUCCAAUCAGCUAAUGCAUGCUUGGAGCGUGGACGUGUGAUCAGGAAAUAACUGCAUAUAUAAGGAGGCUUGUUUCUGUAAUAAAUGGCUUCGCUUGAAUUCA